AAAAUAGAUUUUUAAACUCCCCUCUGAAAAGAAAAAGCCAGUUACAGAGAACUCCCCCGUUCUCCCUCCACCCCCGAUCGGGAGAACAGUUGACGUCAAAGCGUUCGCGGAGUAAAGGAGCUUUGCUCCCCGCAUUUCAUAGCUCUCGAGACAUAAAAUGAAAAUAGGAAUCGCAUCGACCCGACUGACACUUCAUCGGCUGUUCGUUCAACCUAAUUAGCCGCCCAGGGUGGGGGGUUGAAUAAAAUUGUCGAAAAGCGACACUCGAAAUUAAUGGUCGACGCCCGACACCGACGGACGGGGCUGAGAAUAAUUUGAAUUAACCCUCGAACGCGCAUAAAUGCCUUUUAACGAGCACUUUGGCCACUCGAAGGACGAGGCCUGGCUACGGGAAAUUGCGUUGGAUUUAUUCAAUCGUGAAACUGACGAGACUGUUCUCCGUGCAGUUGUGCAAGGAUAUUCGAAGAAGCGAAAGGAAGGUAAUUCGCUUGUCCGACGACGAAAGUCGUCGUUUUCACGGCGAAGAAGUGAUCAACGCGACGGAUAUUCCGUUGUGCCGGGUGCCUAGCGACUUUAUAGCUAGCCACGAGGAAUAGGGAUAGUAGUGACACAGGACCAGGGGAAGUUUUGACGGUAUUGAUUUCCCCAAGCCCCGGGACCUCGUACCAUCUGCAACUCAAACAGCUUGCCUCGUUCUCCGUGCAGUUUGCGACUUUACUAUCCUUCGAUGGAGCGGUAAACCCGGAACGACAGUUUUGCCGGAACAUCGACGGGAGACGAUCCUAUAAAACCGAAGCUCGAAAUUGUUUUGAGACUUGGUGGAAUCAAAAUAAAGCCAUUCCGAUAUAUUCAGACCUGUACCGCCUACUAAAAAUCGGCAUGGACUUUCCAGACAGCCCAAUACAUAAAGGACUCCUAAAAAUGUGUUUUCAUCUAAAUUUCGAGACAUUAUUGAUUCCCAGCAGCGACAUGUCGAUUCCGUAAUAAUAGACUGAUUUAAAUGAUGUUACCAUCAAUCCGAGCUGAAGGAUCGUUAUUAAAUGAGCUUGGGAUAAAACACGGUAAUCCUGGACACAAUCGAAGUAUAUAUGAUACCCGGUGAAUAGCCGAUGGGCAUUACAUUUAAUAAAUACGUCUCCGUUACGGUGUAGAUUAUUCAGUAUUAUGGCGCACUACGGAUA